AGAGUUUGAUCAUGGCUCAGGAUGAACGCUAGCGGCAGGCUUAAUACAUGCAAGUCGUGGGGCAGCAUGGUGUAGCAAUACACUGAUGGCGACCGGCAAACGGGUGCGGAACACGUACGCAACCUUCCUUUAAGUGGAGAAUAGCCCGGCGAAAGCCGGAUUAAUACUCCGUAACAUUAUGAAGUGGCAUCACUUUAUAAUUAUAGCUCCGGCGCUUAAAGAUGGGCGUGCGUCUGAUUAGGUAGUUGGCGGGGUAACGGCCCACCAAGCCUACGAUCAGUAACUGGUGUGAGAGCACGACCAGUCACACGGGCACUGAGACACGGGCCCGACUCCUACGGGAGGCAGCAGUAAGGAAUAUUGGUCAAUGGACGCAAGUCUGAACCAGCCAUGCCGCGUGAAGGAUGAAGGUCCUCUGGAUUGUAAACUUCUUUUAUUUGGGAAGAAACCCAAGAUUUCUAUUUUGGUUGACGGUACCAGAUGAAUAAGCACCGGCUAACUCCGUGCCAGCAGCCGCGGUAAUACGGAGGGUGCAAGCGUUAUCCGGAUUCACUGGGUUUAAAGGGUGCGUAGGCGGGCAGGUAAGUCCGUGGUGAAAUCUCCAAGCUUAACUUGGAAACUGCCGUGGAUACUAUUUGUCUUGAAUAUAGUGGAGGUGAGCGGAAUAUGUCAUGUAGCGGUGAAAUGCUUAGAUAUGACAUAGAACACCCAUUGCGAAGGCAGCUCGCUACACUAUUAUUGACGCUGAGGCACGAAAGCGUGGGGAUCAAACAGGAUUAGAUACCCUAGUAGUCC
rnacentral:rRNA from 1 species